AACUUUUGGCAACGGAUCUCUUGGCUCUCGCAUCGAUGAAGAACGCAGCGACAUGCGCUAAGUAAUGUGAAUUGCAGAUUUUCAGUGAAUCAUCGAAUCUUUGAACGCACCUUGCGCUCCUUGGUAUUCCGAGGAGCAUGCCUGUUUGAGUGUCAUUAAAUUCUCAACUCCGAUCGAUUUGUUUCGACUUCGGAGCUUGGACAUGGAGCGUGCUGGCGUCGGUCGGCUCCUCUUAAAUGCAUCAGCGGAAUCUAACGUUUUGGAUGUCAGUGUGAUAAUCAUGUUGCGCUGUCCUCCGAUCCGAAAAGCCCGCUCACAAUGGUCUUCGGACGACUUCAUAUCAAAUUUGACCUCAAAUCAGGUAGGACUACCCGCUGAACUUAAGCAUAUCAAUAAGCGGAGGCU
rnacentral:misc_RNA from 1 species